GACGAACGCUGGCGGCGUGCUUAACACAUGCAAGUCGAACAGUGGCGAACGGGUGAGUAACACGUGAGUAACCUGCCCUCCACUUUGGGCUAACUCCGAGAAAUCGGGGCUAAUACUGGAUAGUGGGGGAUGGGCUCGCGGCCUAUCGGUUUGUUGGUGAGGUAGUGGUCACCAGGGCGUGACGGGUAGCCGGCCUGGGAGGGCGACCGGCCACAAGGGGACUGAGGCACGGACCAGUGUCCUACGGGGGGCAGCAGGGGGGAACAUUGCACAAUGGGGGAAAGCCUGAGGCGGCGACGCCGGGUGGGGGAUGACGGCCUUCGGGUUGUAAACCUCUUUAAGCAAGGAAGCGGUACUUGCAGAAGAAGCGCCGGCUAACUACGUGCCAGCCGCCGCGGUAAUAC
rnacentral:rRNA from 1 species